ACCCAAGACAACCACGUCAGCUCCUACCACAGCCACCACUACUACCACUGCAACUCUUACCACAGCCACCACCCCAGCAACCACAACUACAACUCCAACCACAGGUGCUACUACAACCACCUCCACAACUACAGAACCGACCACAGCCACACGGUCGACCGCAGUUCCUUCGACGUCCCCCCCUCCUCCUCCCCCCAGGACAACAGCUUCGUGGAGGACCCCUCCCUCCACCUCUGGCCCCGGCUCCACUUCCACACCCCCUCUACUGCCCAACAACAUCCAGAGAGAGAACGCUAACCUCUCCCACCGCUCUGGGAAUGACCACUACCUCCUGGGUAACAACAUAACAGUGGCGGUCCUGGGUAUAGUGAUUCCUAUAGUGGUCAUCGGCUUGCUCUGCACCGCGGAUACCUGAUCUGGUGUAACUGGCGCCGGAAGAACACCAAGAGUAUGAACUUCGACAACCCGUCUACGUAAGACCACGGAGGACG